rnacentral:tRNA from 1 species
AUUUAUAUAAUAUAUUUAGUAUAUUUGACUUCCAAUCAAAAAGUUUAAAUUUAAUUUAAUAUAAAUA